rnacentral:rRNA from 1 species
UACGUAGGUGGCAGGCGUUAUCCGGAAUUAUUGGGCGUAAAGCGCGCGCAGGCGGUUUCUUAAGUCUGAUGUGAAAGCCCACGGCUCAACCGUGGAGGGUCAUUGGAAACUGGGGAACUUGAGUGCAGAAGAGAAAAGCGGAAUUCCACGUGUAGCGGUGAAAUGCGUAGAGAUGUGGAGGAACACCAGUGGCGAAGGCGACUCUUUGGCCUGUAACUGACGCUGAGGCGCGAAAGCGUGGGGAGCAAACAGG